AAAUGCGAUAAGUAAUGUGAAUUGCAGAAUUCAGUGAAUCAUCGAAUCUUUGAACGCACAUUGCGCCCGCCAGCAUUCUGGCGGGCAUGCCUGUUCGAGCGUCAUUUCAACCCUCGAGCCCCCCCGGGGGCCUCGGUGUUGGGGGACGGCACACCAGCCGCCCCCGAAAUGCAGUGGCGACCCCGCCGCAGCCUCCCCUGCGUAGUAGCACACACCUCGCACCGGAGCGCGGAGGCGGUCACGCCGUAAAACGCCCAACUUUCUUAGAGUUGACCUCGGAUCAGGUAGGAAUUCCCGCUGAACUUAAGC
rnacentral:misc_RNA from 1 species